rnacentral:rRNA from 1 species
AACUAACGCUGGCGGCGUGCCUAACACAUGCAAGUCGUACGAGAAAGUCGGCUUCGGCUGAUGAGUAAAGUGGCGCACGGGUGAGUAACGCGUGGAUAAUCUGCCCUUUAGUUGGGAAUAACGUACCGAAAGGUGCGCUAAUACCGAAUAAUGCUGAGUGACAUCAGUUAUUUAGCCAAAGAAGGCCUCUGCUUGCAAGCUUUCGCUGAAGGAUGAGUCCGCGUACCAUUAGCUAGUUGGUAGGGUAAUGGCCUACCAAGGCGACGAUGGUUAGCUGGUCUGAGAGGAUGAUCAGCCACACUGGAACUGAGACACGGUCCAGACUCCUACGGGAGGCAGCAGUGAGGAAUAUUGCGCAAUGGGGGCAACCCUGACGCAGCAACGCCGCGUGAGUGAGGAAGGUUUUCGGACUGUAAAGCUCUGUCGAGCGGGAAGAAAUGCCUGAUGGCUAAUAUCCAUCAUGCUUGACGGUACCG